UUCGACACACUAUCAUUAACUGAAUCCAUAGGUUAAUGAGGCGAACCGGGGGAACUGAAACAUCUAAGUACCCCGAGGAAAAGAAAUCAACCGAGAUUCCCCCAGUAGCGGCGAGCGAACGGGGAGCAGCCCAGAGCCUGAAUCAGUAUGUGUGUUAGUGGAAGCGUCUGGAAAGGCGCGCGAUACAGGGUGACAGCCCCGUACACAAAAAUGCACAUGCUGUGAGCUCGAUGAGUAGGGCGGGACACGUGGUAUCCUGUCUGAAUAUGGGGGGACCAUCCUCCAAGGCUAAAUACUCCUGACUGACCGAUAGUGAACCAGUACCGUGAGGGAAAGGCGAAAAGAACCCCGGCGAGGGGAGUGAAAAAGAACCUGAAACCGUGUACGUACAAGCAGUGGGAGCACGCUUAGGCGUGUGACUGCGUACCUUUUGUAUAAUGGGUCAGCGACUUAUAUUCUGUAGCAAGGUUAACCGAAUAGGGGAGCCGAAGGGAAACCGAGUCUUAACUGGGCGUUAAGUUGCAGGGUAUAGACCCGAAACCCGGUGAUCUAGCCAUGGGCAGGUUGAAGGUUGGGUAACACUAACUGGAGGACCGAACCGACUAAUGUUGAAAAAUUAGCGGAUGACUUGUGGCUGGGGGUGAAAGGCCAAUCAAACCGGGAGAUAGCUGGUUCUCCCCGAAAGCUAUUUAGGUAGCGCCUCGUGAAUUCAUCUCCGGGGGUAGAGCACUGUUUCGGCAAGGGGGUCAUCCCGACUUACCAACCCGAUGCAAACUGCGAAUACCGGAGAAUGUUAUCACGGGAGACACACGGCGGGUGCUAACGUCCGUCGUGAAGAGGGAAACAACCCAGACCGCCAGCUAAGGUCCCAAAGUCAUGGUUAAGUGGGAAACGAUGUGGGAAGGCCCAGACAGCCAGGAUGUUGGCUUAGAAGCAGCCAUCAUUUAAAGAAAGCGUAAUAGCUCACUGGUCGAGUCGGCCUGCGCGGAAGAUGUAACGGGGCUAAACCAUGCACCGAAGCUGCGGCAGCGACGCUGAUGCGUUGUUGGGUAGGGGAGCGUUCUGUAAGCCUGCGAAGGUGUGCUGUGAGGCAUGCUGGAGGUAUCAGAAGUGCGAAUGCUGACAUAAGUAACGAUAAAGCGGGUGAAAAGCCCGCUCGCCGGAAGACCAAGGGUUCCUGUCCAACGUUAAUCGGGGCAGGGUGAGUCGACCCCUAAGGCGAGGCCGAAAGGCGUAGUCGAUGGGAAACAGGUUAAUAUUCCUGUACUUGGUGUUACUGCGAAGGGGGGACGGAGAAGGCUAUGUUGGCCGGGCGACGGUUGUCCCGGUUUAAGCGUGUAGGCUGGUUUUCCAGGCAAAUCCGGAAAAUCAAGGCUGAGGCGUGAUGACGAGGCACUGCGGUGCUGAAGCAACAAAUGCCCUGCUUCCAGGAAAAGCCUCUAAGCAUCAGGUAACAUCAAAUCGUACCCCAAACCGACACAGGUGGUCAGGUAGAGAAUACCAAGGCGCUUGAGAGAACUCGGGUGAAGGAACUAGGCAAAAUGGUGCCGUAACUUCGGGAGAAGGCACGCUGAUAUGUAGGUGAAGUCCCUCGCGGAUGGAGCUGAAAUCAGUCGAAGAUACCAGCUGGCUGCAACUGUUUAUUAAAAACACAGCACUGUGCAAACACGAAAGUGGACGUAUACGGUGUGACGCCUGCCCGGUGCCGGAAGGUUAAUUGAUGGGGUUAGCGCAAGCGAAGCUCUUGAUCGAAGCCCCGGUAAACGGCGGCCGUAACUAUAACGGUCCUAAGGUAGCGAAAUUCCUUGUCGGGUAAGUUCCGACCUGCACGAAUGGCGUAAUGAUGGCCAGGCUGUCUCCACCCGAGACUCAGUGAAAUUGAACUCGCUGUGAAGAUGCAGUGUACCCGCGGCAAGACGGAAAGACCCCGUGAACCUUUACUAUAGCUUGACACUGAACAUUGAGCCUUGAUGUGUAGGAUAGGUGGGAGGCUUUGAAGUGUGGACGCCAGUCUGCAUGGAGCCGACCUUGAAAUACCACCCUUUAAUGUUUGAUGUUCUAACGUUGACCCGUAAUCCGGGUUGCGGACAGUGUCU
rnacentral:rRNA from 1 species